CAGAUGGGGCUGUGACGGGCACAGCUGUCCUUACACGUAUCUGUCUCCUCCAUAAACUGUGUUCAGAGCCCGGCUCAGGGCUUCUCCAAUUUUAAGGUCCACAAGAGUCACCUGGGAAGCUUGCUGAACAAGCAUGCUCUGAUUCAGCAAGUAUGCGACAAGGAGCUGAGAUUCUGAAUUUCUAAUGAGGCCCCAGGUGUGGCCCAUGAACCACACCUUACAAAAAGGGCCUAGGAAGGGGCUGCUUGGGCUGUUCGUAGAGCGUCUGCGUGGAGUUGCAGCAAGAUGUCGUCCCUGCUUCACUGCCAGCCGAGUAUCACCGCGGAGCUGUCCUUGGCUGUGUUCAGCCCCACAGUGGACUUGGCCUAAGUUUUUGAGACCACCAACAAAGGAGCCUGAGCUUGAGGAAAUUUGCUCUCGGAGGGACUGAAAAAACAUUAACAACGUGUACAGAGAAAAAUGAAAAGGAUUGUGUCCAUGACAAGUAGAAGAAUGAGAGAGACGGCGUAGAGGGUGAAGCUUAAGUGAGACCUGAUAUUGCCUGGGCUCCAGCUGAUGUUUCAAAGCCAAGCCAAGCGGUCACAGCUAUGAUAAAAAGAAGGGAGACUGAGGAAGGGAACAAAUAUUUAUCAUGGCCUAGAAGCUUUGCCUGUAUACCAUGCUCCUUCUCACAAAUGCAAACACAGACCUUUGCUUCCUCCUAUGCACUGCCACUAACAAAGAGAUUACAUUCCAUUUAUUCAUGGAAUUCAUCGAGGACGAUACCAUCAAUUCAAACUACAUUUCUUUACCUGGAUAAUUGGAUUACCCUCUCUGUGGGUCACCAGAGCCAAUGGCAUGGCUGGAGCAUGCAUUUCACAGGAAGGCACAGUUCCCCAGUGGUCAAGUGUUCAGGCAAAAAUAAAU